UACAGAGGUCUCAAGCGUUGUUCGGAUUUAUUGGGCGUAAAGGGUGUGUAGGUGGCGCCGUAAGUCGGGUGUGAAAUUUCGGAGCUUAACUCCGAAACUGCAUUCGAUACUGCGGUGCUUGAGGACUGGAGAGGAGACUGGAAUUCAUGGUGUAGCAGUGAAAUGCGUAGAGAUCAUGAGGAAGACCAGUGGCGAAGGCGGGUCUCUGGACAGUUCCUGACACUGAGACACGAAGGCCAGGGGAGCAAACGGG
rnacentral:rRNA from 1 species